GGGUGGCCUAGGAGAGGGCACAGCCGCAGCACUCUGUGCAUGCAUGCACGCAUUCUGGCAGAAGAUCCCGGCUCUGCCUCUCACCAGCUGUGUGACCUUGGGCAAGUCACACGACCUCUCUCAGUCUCAUAAUUGCUCCCUUGCAUGUGAAGUGUUAAGCCUGGGCUGAGUGUGCACUGUAUCCCCAUUUGAAGAUGAGAAAACUGAGUCCCCAGGGCUGCAGAGCUUGUUAAAUGUUAAAUGUCAAAGCUCAUGCUCUUUGGAUCACGCCCAGGCCCCACACCAGAGCUAGGAUUGAAACCCACUGGUGGG
rnacentral:lncRNA from 1 species